rnacentral:rRNA from 1 species
AUUGAACGCUGGCGGCAGGCUUAACACAUGCAAGUCGAGCGGGGAAGGUUGCUUCGGUAACUGACCUAGCGGCGGACGGGUGAGUAAUGCUUAGGAAUCUGCCUAUUAGUGGGGGACAACGUUCCGAAAGGAACGCUAAUACCGCAUACGCCCUACGGGGGAAAGCAGGGGAUCUUCGGACCUUGCGCUAAUAGAUGAGCCUAAGUCGGAUUAGCUAGUUGGGGGGGUAAAGGCCUACCAAGGCGACGAUCUGUAGCGGGUCUGAGAGGAUGAUCCGCCACACUGGGACUGAGACACGGCCCAGACUCCUACGGGAGGCAGCAGUGGGGAAUAUUGGACAAUGGGCGCAAGCCUGAUCCAGCCAUGCCGCGUGUGUGAAGAAGGCCUUUUGGUUGUAAAGCACUUUAAGCGAGGAGGAGGCUCCUUUAGUUAAUACCUAAAGAGAGUGGACGUUACUCGCAGAAUAAGCACCGGCUAACUCUGUGCCAGCCGCCGCAGUAACAC